GUUCGAUUUUUAGAGGCAGAUUAUGUCCUUGAGGAAGACGCUUUGUUUUACGUUGCUCUAGUACACUCGGCUGGCAAAAAUGAGUAGUACCUGUAUUUGAAAAAGGGCCGGCCUUGUCACAAUCUGUGUCACGUUGAAUCUCCUUGCGAACUACGUUAAGGGUACGCGUGUCUGUGGAAUGCUCAGCCACUUACAAGUUAAUUUCACGUGCAAGUUGUUCCCUUGAUCGUAUCAGUUGGGAUCCUAGUCGUCGUAACCGACGGAGUGCUCC